GUCGUCAUCUCGUAGAACUCAAUAGCGGAGACACAUCACCGAACACCAGCAACAUAAUGCCAUGGUAACCACCCAGCAGCAGAACACGGCGAUAAUGGGCCAACAGUAAAUACAACAUCAAGAUCCUCGGAAAGGACUUUCUCUUUCGAACAAACAUAAUGGAAGCAUACUCUACACGCGCGACAUAUUCAAUCGGGCCAACCGUGUGACUCGUUUGGCAAAAAGGGCUCAUCAUCGGUUUCAUGGCAGCGAAGUGAGCAGACAAAAGAAGGCGUUUUUUUCCGAAUGGUCGCUCUGGGCAAAAGUUCAGCUAAUUGCAAGGAACAAACCACCGGAGUGACAGCAUCCGUGCUGAUUCAGGACCUUUUUCCAUAUAUUGUAGCUUUUGAAUUUUAAUACCCGGUCGAAACGAUGGCAAGUGCUGCCGAUAACUGGGUCAAAAAGGCGGAAGGAGGAUCAGGAAAUUUCUGCACUCGGUUUUGAAUUUUUCUUUUCAAUACAAAUAGGUUGUCGAUCUGAGUAUCCCUAAGGAUAAGGAACCAGAGCCGACGGCUGACAGCCCAAAGAAAGAGAAUGCGGAAAAACCUUCUAGUUCACCGCCAAUAGAACCAGCGAUUAAAUUACUCCGGUAGAAACGGCUGCACCUGCAGUUUUGUUUUCGGUAGCUACAGAAAUUAAGACUUUAGCAGCUCCUGAAGAAAAAAAAGCUGCUAGCGAAAAUGGAGAAACAGCUUCCUCCACGGAAGAUGCAGAGGCAUUCAACCCGGCGGAUGCAAGUUUGCUAAUUAAACUUAUUCGCAAAGGUCUAGUAGAAUCAAAGCUGGAUCUGGGGGUGAAGGAUCCUUCUUCGCCGCUAUACUUGGUUAAAACUUUCGAAGCUUUGCACAUGAAUUCGGAACUGCUUCUAUGCUAUGGGUUUCAACGCUCCUUCCAAGAUUCAGAAGACGGCUCAACCUACUCUGUUGGCCGAUCCACCACAGAACAUAAUCGCCCAGAGUUGGUCGGGAACAAGAAAAACCACUGCCUUCGUACUGGCAAUGCUCAAUCGAGGCAAUCCGUUGAAAAACUAUCCGCAGGUGAUUUGCCUUUCCCCACGUAUGAACUGGCAAUUCAGAAGUGGAAAGUAGCUGCAAAACGGCAAAGUUUUGUGUGGAAAUCGAACUUGGUUAAACCGUUCGCGGUGAGAAGAUCGUCAAAGGGGCGAAGCUGACUAAUCAUAUCAUCAUCGGAACAGCCGGGCGUUCGACCUUAAGAAGAUUGCCAUUUUUGUAAUGGACGAGGCGGGCGUUAUGAUCGCUGUUCUUUUUAGCAACGUACGAGCGGGAGGUGAUGGGAUUCGUCCAGUACAUCGUAACCAAUCCGAUCAUGAUUCUUCUGGUGCGGGAGCAAGAAUCACUCGAUAACACCAAACACUACUACGUCAAAUGCCGCAACCAGGACGAGAAAUAUCAAGCAAUUUCAAACAUGUACGGUGUGAUUACCGUCGGACAAGCGAUCAUUCUCUGUCAUAUGAUGUAUAGGACAGUUGUAAACUCCAAGUAAACUUAUUUUCGGCAUUGUUAAUCGAUCGAAACAGGCACGCAAAACGGCCGGUUGGUUGACCGGCAGGAUGUCCCAGGAUGAUCAUUCGGUAGCGGUACUGUCCGGUGAUCUAACGGUGGAGCAACGGUUGGAACGAACGUUUUGUCCAGGGGUAAGUUCCACCACUUGAUUCUGGCUACAGCACCAGGUUACGGAGAGAUUCUUUCGUCUUAGGUAUCGACGUCGAACAGGUUACCAUUGUCGUCAACUUCGACCUGCCGAUGGAUUAGCAGGGACGAGCCGAUUGCGAAACGUAUCUACAUCGAAUUAGACGCACCGGUAGAUUCAAACGGAAUCACCAUCAACCUAGUGGGUAGUGAUCGAAGCAUGAUGAUUUGCAGAUCAAUGGAAAAACACUUCCGGAAAAAGAUUCAGUUGCUAGACGCGGAGAACUCGGACGAAAUUUAAAAGAUCGCACCGUAAAAUGUUUUCGACCAGCUACUGGUGAAAAGCGUAGGAGCUUUUUUGGGUCAUACUUG